AAUAUUGGACAAUGGGGGAAACCCUGAUCCAGCGACGCCGCGUGUGUGAAGAAGGCCUGCGGGUUGUAAAGCACUUUUAGUGGGGAUGAAAAGCCAGGGGCGAAUACCCUCUGGUCUUGACCUAACCCACAGAAAAAGCACCGGCUAACUCUGUGCCAGCAGCCGCGGUAAUACAGAGGGUGCGAGCGUUAAUCGGAAUUACUGGGCGUAAAGCGUGCGUAGGCGGUCUCGUGUGUCGGGUGUGAAAGCCCCGGGCUCAACCUGGGAAUGGCAUCCGAAACUGCGGGGCUAGAGUGCGGAAGAGGGAAGUGGAAUUUCCGGUGUAGCGGUGAAAUGCGUAGAUAUCGGGAGGAAUACCCGUGGCGAAGGCGACCUUCUGGACCGUUUCUGACGCUCAGAUGCGAAAGCUAGGGGAGCGAACGGG
rnacentral:rRNA from 1 species